UACGUAGGGGCGCGCGUUGUCCGGAAUUUAUUGGGCGUAAAGAGCUCGUAGGCGGUUUGGUAAGUUGGAUGUGAAAUCUCCAGGCUCAACUUGGAGGGGUCAUUCGAUACUGCCAUGACUAGAGUUCGGUAGGGGAGUGUGGAAUUCCUGGUGGAGCGGUGAAAUGCGCAGAUAUCAGGAGGAACACCCGUAGCGAAGGCGGCACUCUGGGCCGGAACUGACGCUGAGGAGCGAAAGCGUGGGGAGCGAGCAGG
rnacentral:rRNA from 1 species